rnacentral:pre_miRNA from 1 species
ACUGUACUCCUUCCGUUCGGAAAUACUUGUCGGAGGAAUGGAUGUAUUUAAACGUAUUUUAGUUUUAGAUGCAUCUAUUUAUAUCCAUUUUCACGACAAGUAUUUUCGGAUGGAGGGAGUAUCAU